CCUACGGGGUGCAGCAGUGGGGAAUAUUGGACAAUGGGCGAAAGCCUGAUCCAGCCAUGCCGCGUGUGUGAAGAAGGCCUUCGGGUUGUAAAGCACUUUCAGUGGGGAAGAAAGCCUUGGGGCUAAUACCCUCGAGGAAGGACAUCACCCACAGAAGAAGCACCGGCUAACUCCGUGCCAGCAGCCGCGGUAAUACGGAGGGUGCGAGCGUUAAUCGGAAUUACUGGGCGUAAAGCGCGCGUAGGCGGUCUGAUAAGCCGGUUGCGAAAGCCCCGGGCUCAACCUGGGAACGGCAUCCGGAACUGUCAGGCUAGAGUGCAGGAGAGGAAGGUAGAAUUCCCGGUGUAGCGGUGAAAUGCGUAGAGAUCGGGAGGAAUACCAGUGGCGAAGGCGGCCUUCUGGACUGACACUGACGCUGAGGUGCGAAAGCGUGGGUAGCAAACAGGAUUAGAUACCCCGUAGUC
rnacentral:rRNA from 1 species